GUACGAUGAUGACAAACUUAGGACACCUUUGGAGGUUAUGACCAAUGAAACAAACCAGUAUUCUGAGUACG